UGGGGAAUUUUCCGCAAUGGGCGAAAGCCUGACGGAGCAAUGCCGCGUGGAGGUGGAAGGCCUACGGGUCGUCAACUUCUUUUCUCGGAGAAGAAACAAUGACGGUAUCUGAGGAACAAGCAUCGGCUAACUCUGUGCCGG
rnacentral:rRNA from 1 species